GUGCCAGCCGCCGCGGUAAUACGUAGGGUGCAAGCGUUAAUCGGAAUUACUGGGCGUAAAGCGUGCGCAGGCGGUGAUGUAAGACAGAUGUGUAAAUCCCCGGGCUCAACCUGGGGAACUGCAUUAGUGACUGCAUCGCUGGAGUGCGGCAGAGGGGGAUGGAAUUCCGCGUGUAGCAGUGAAAUGCGUAGAUAUGCGGAGGAACACCGAUGGCGAAGGCAAUCCCCUGGGCCUGCACUGACGCUCAUGCACGAAAGCGUGGGGAGCAAACAGGAUUAGAUACCCUGGUAGUCCACGCCCUAAACUAUGUCAACUGGUUGUUGGGAAUUCACUUUCUCAGUAACGAAGCUAACGCGUGAAGUUGACCGCCUGGGGAGUACGGCCGCAAGGUUAAAACUCAAAGGAAUUGACGGGGACCCGCACAAGCGGUGGAUGAUGUGGUUUAAUUCGAUGCAACGCGAAAAACCUUACCCACCUUUGACAUGUACGGAAGAUCGCCAGAGACGCCGAUUGUGCUCGCAAAGAGAGCCGUAACACAGGUGCUGCAUGGCUGUCGUCAGCUCGUGUCGUGAGAUG
rnacentral:rRNA from 1 species